CAAGUACUCCCUCCGUCCAGAAUUACUUGUCAUCAAAACGGAUCUGUCUAGAACUAAAAUACAUCUAGAUACAUCCAUUUCAAUGACAAGUAUUUUCGGACGGAUGGAGUACAAG
rfam:Triticum aestivum genome assembly, contig: Triticum_aestivum_CS42_TGACv1_scaffold_562868_7AL